CCUGACCCAGGACACUUGAACACCCGGUGGACUGCCCCACGACUCGGACAAGUGAAGGUCACGGGCAGGAACAGAGUGCUCUCCACAGGGAGCAGGGUCAUGAGGAAUGAUUGGAAGCAUGGGUUUCGGGAUCAGAUGGGGGUGUGUUCUCAGCUUGAACCGCCAUAUUGGUGAUCUUGGAGAUUCCAUCUCUCUGGGUUUGCAUUUAUCCAUGUGUAUUUUCAGUGGUGACUCUACGGACACAUGAAUACAAUGAAUCCAGGACAGACCAGGUUAUAUUGCGAUAACAAAGGAACUAUGAAAUUUCAGUGACAUCACACUGUAGGCUUCUAACUCACUCAUGUCCAACUUGGUGCAGGGUGUGUUCUGCUCCACAUGGGUUUCAGGGAUUGAAGCUGGCAGAGACUCCACUAUGUAGGAUUUCUCUGACUCAAGGAAAGGAAGAAAGAGACUACAGGCUCACCCUGGGGCUUUCUGCCUCAGCCCAGAAGUGACACAAGCCUCUUGUGCUCCCAUUUAAUUUGGAGUGGCUUCCUCUAACUUCAAGGACUCUGUGAACUGUGGUCUCCUGUAGGCACAGAGCAGAAAGGAGAAUGAGGACUGCCGAACCCAGUAUUGCCUGGCACUGUUUCAAUUCAGUAGAAAUUGUUUAGAUGCUAUAUCUAGGACUCACAUGCACUAAUAUUUUGAUCCACUUGCUAUCACCAAAGUGAAGUAUCAUAGAAAGAGAACCUUAUAAAAAAUCAGCAAAAAAUAACAAUCUUCAUAGGUACACGAAAUGCCAACAUCCUUACUCAGUUUAAAAUUGUAUUUUCCACAUAUCCCUCUGUGGGCAUUAUUAAACAAACUUAUAAUCUUUGAAGUUGUUUUUCUUCUUCAUCUUCUACUUAG